rnacentral:lncRNA from 1 species
GAAAAUCUUUCCACCGCAGUACAAAAAGAUCGAUUUCAUUUUGUUAACAGAUGGAUGUGCCAUAGGGCAAUUAACUGUUUAGUUAUCCUGUUAUCCUGUUGUGGAUAUUUAAGUUCAAACAAUGCAGUAAUAAAUAUGCAAGAGUGCUUUCAGACAUUAAAGAAUAUGGCUCUAAAUUAGGGACCUAGUGCCUGUAAUCCCAGCACUUUGGGAGGUCGAGGUGGGUGGAUCACCUGAGGUCAGAAGUUUGAGACCAGCCUGGCCAACAUGGCAAAACCCCGUUUCUACAAAAAAUACAAAAAUUAGCUGGGUAUGGUGAUGCGCACUUGUAGCCCCAGCCACUUGGGAGGCUGAGGUAGGACAAUUGCCUGAACCCACAAGGCGGAGGCUGCAGUGAGCUGAGAUGAUGUCACUGCACUCCAGUCUGGGAGACAGAGUGAGACUCUGUCCCAAUAAUAAAUAAAUAAGUAAAUAAUCUAGAAGUACAAUUGCUUAGCCAAAUUGCUUAUGCAUUUUGAAUGAUGAGAGUUGCUGCCUAAUUUCUGUUACAAAGGCUAUGGUAAUUUACACUCAAAACACAGAAUUGGUUGGUUGUUGUUACAGACGGAGUCUUACUGUUGCCGAGACUGGAGUGCAGUGGUGUAAUCCUAGCUCGUUGUAGUCUCCAACGCCUAGGCUCAAGCAAUCCUCCCACCUCAGCCUCCCUCCCAAGUAACUAGGAUUACAGGUGCAUGCCACCACACCUGGCUAAUUUUAUUUUUAGAUAUGGGAUCUUGCUCCGUUGCCCAGGUUGGUCUCGAAAUCCUGGCCUCAAGGCGACCUCAGCCUCCAGUGUAGCUGACAUUACAGGCAUGAGACACUGUACCUGGCUGAAUGAGUGCCUCUAUCCUGACACUUGUGUCCCCACGGGAUCCUGCAGAAUUCAGGACCCCGUCCACACAGGGGAAAACUCUCUGUUGCGGUCCUGAUGACUGAGGAGGGAGCUUACCCAUGGCUCUCCUGGUCAUUUUUAUUUAAUAGUGAGCGCAGAACCUCACAUUUUCUGGAAUGUUCCCAUAUGAUUUUGUGAGAGAAAAGAGAAUAGAGACCCAACCCCAAGCUCACUGUGUCAAAGGGAAAAUUAAGCUUGGGAACUGAGUUACGCAAUACUCCUUCCUUGUUCUCAAACACAUAGCUAUAACUUCACAACCCUGUGUCAUAGCCUCAUCCAUAAGCCAGGUUCCCACAGUGACAGAAGGCCGCAUGUCUCCUCACAUGUCCUCCCUCACAAUUUGCCGUGAGCCCCUAAAUCUUUCAGAAUGCACAUCCCACCUAUAAACUAGCCCUAAAAGUGAGUCAGCUCAAUUUCACCCUGACAAUCUCAAUUACCAGGUUAUUUUCAUAGUUCUGGGACAAGGUCAGGACCAGAAAUCAUCCCUCUGCCUAUCCUGAGAUGAAUGAAUCAUUGACUUUUCCUCUAUUCCACUCCCUCUAUUCACAUGCUUACUUUAUCUUAUGUAAAAUGAAGAUUUACUGAAUGCGACAUGAACUGUUUCCUCUGCUCCCUCCUUUCCUAUGUAAAAUGUAGAUAUCCUGAUGCUAAUCAGAGCCACACAAGAAUGCAAACAUAUGCUUCACUGCCUACCUUCAGUCUCACGGGAGUUCUCUGGAUUUCUUGUAUCAGCUGGUGGACCUCUCUAGCAAGAUUGAGGACACUUUCCUGAAUUAUAUCCUCAAAAAUGUUUUCCAAGUUGCUUACAUUCUCUUCUUCUCUGUUAGAAAUGCCAAUAAGUCAGCCAGGCACAGUGGCUCAUGCCAGUAAUCCCAGCACUUUGGGAGGCCAAGGUGGGAGUAUCACUCGAGGCCAGAAGUUUGAGACCUACCUGGCCAGCAUGGCGAAAUCCCAUCUCUACUAAAAAUACAAAAAUUAGCCAGACAUGGUGGCACAUGCCUGUAAUCUCAGAUACUUGGGAGGUUGAGGCACGAGAAUUGCUUGAACCCAGGAGGUGGAGGUUUCAGUGAGCCAAGAUCAUGCCACUGCACUACAGACUGGGUAACAGAGUGAGAUUCUGUCUCAAAAAAAAAAAAUGCCAAUAAGUCAUAGAUUUUGUUCCUUUACAUAAUCCUAUAUUUCUCAAAAGUUUGGUUCAUUAUUUUUAAAUUCUUUUUUUUAUUUUUGUCUGACUGGGUUGAUUCGAAGGUCUGGUCUUUGAGCUCUUAAAUUAUUUUUUCUAUUUGGUCUAGUCUGUUGCUAAGGCUGCCAACUGUUUUUUGAAAUUCCUAUAGUAAAUUUUUCAAUUCAAGAAGCUCUGCUUGGUUCUUUCUCAAUAUAGCUAUGUUGUCAUUCAAAUCCAGGAUCGUUGUUAUGGGGUUGUUGUUGGAUUCAACUUUCUGUUGGAUUUUGGUGAAUUUUUUUGCCACUUAUAUCUUGAAUACUAUACCUGUCAUUUCAGACAUUUCAUUCUGGUUAGGACUCAUUGCUAGGUUGCUGGUGUAAUCCUUUGGAGGUGAUGGAACAUUCUGGCUUUUUGUAUUGCCAGAGUUCUUGUGCUGGUUUCUUCUCAUCUGGGAGACUUGAUGCUUCUUUUGUUGAAUUUGAUAUCAUUUGGAAGGAGGUUUUUUUUUUUAAUUUUUCAUUCUUUCUUUCUCUUAAGGGUGUGACUGUGGUGUGUGUUGUAUAGGAUCAGUUUGCUUCAUUUCUGGGUACUUUCAGAGGACCAAGGCUCUGUACAAGUUCCUUGGUUGCAGAUAGGCUCCUGUGGUGGCUUGAUGUGGUGAUGUAUUUUUGUUUGGUGGUGUAAUUCAGGCUUCAGUGCAGUAGACAGUGCUUAAGAGUAACAGCUGGCUGCAGGGUCUUCUCCUCUGUGUACUUGUCCACGACAGGUGCAGAAGUGACAAAGUGCCAAAAGUGCCCUGUCCCCAUGUGUACUAGUCUUCAGCAGGGGCAGAGUCCUGGAGAAACCUAAGAAGCAGCCUCUUUCAGCUCACGUUCCUUGGGCCCCAACAGGGUGACCACUACUGGGUCUGCAGCAGUGCACUAGGAAGGGGACAGAGGGCAAGAGAUGACCACCUCUCUAAAUCUGUUCCCAGGCUUUGGUGUGCCCCUUUCAGCAGCUGAUGUCAUGAUCGUGUUUCCUUUGACCCAAGGGGUGGGUUUGGCAAGCUGUAUUCCUCCUUCCCUUAGGGCUGGUCCUCACCAAAGUUUAGGUCUCCUGGGGAAUGGGGUUCACCUCCCUCCUGCUUCUUGGAGCUGAUGAGGUACUCUCUCAACUGACCAAGAGAGCAGGCUGGGACACCCAGCAAUGACACACACAGACCAGUUCCAGGUUGCAAAGCUGUUCUUGGCUGCAAGUCUCACCGUCCUUGAGAAACCUCUGCUUUAGCAACUCUCUUCCCACUACAGUCCUGCAAGAGGAGAGAGCCUAAUUCCAAUACCUACUGCUGGGGCACUUUCCACACUCAACACUCAAUUCUGGCUGUGGAGGCUGCUCCCCUGCUCCAGAGCAAGCACUUCAAUUCCUAGCCCAAGAUUAAAGUGUCUGCAGUGGCCACCAUUGCCAGGCACCAAAGAAUGAUUGACUUUGUAUGAGCCCAGAUUAAAAAUGGCAUCCUUCGCUCAGUCCCAGGUCUGGGGAAAUGCCUGCAGCUUUUCUGAGUGUCUUUCCUCUUUCCCCAUCUCUCAGCCACUUUUGUGCUAGCUCUAAGCACAUAAGUGCUUUCUUGGGAGAAACAGUGCUCUCCCUUAAUCUGGGUUGCACAGAUCCCCAGUGGAAAGGUGAGUCGCAGAGGGAGACUGGAUGCUCUUCUCUCGUACUGGAGUUUCAUUCCCUUUUAUGAACCAAAUGCUAUCACAGAGGCUGCUUUCCCACCUCCCCCUCCACAGGGUCUGGAGUGUUCUUCUCUAUUCCUGUGAAUUCCUAUUUUUCUUCUUGAAUUGAAGCUCACAAAGUUUAUCUUUAUGCUUAUUUUUCUACUUCCAAGUGGCUGAGGCACACUGAAAGCCCCUAAUCCAUCAUUCUAGGAAAAAAAGGAUGGUUUAAAUAAAGGAAUGUUCAUAUAAAAUAUAUAUUAAUUAACCCAAAUAUAUUUUGUUUGACAUGAGUUAGGUGAAUCUUUGAUACAUUAAUUAAUUUUAAAAUUGUUAAAUAAAAUUAGAAAUAUCUUCGAAUUUGCCAAGGUAUGUUUCUCUCCUGGGAUUACUGGUCAGUUUUAUUUUUUCCUCGGAUAGAUGUUUUAAGCCAUAAAUCUUGACAUAGACCUGAUGUAGACCUCCAUACCUUUCCCAGAUGUGGGACGGAGCAACUGGGACAGGUCCAUCCUAGCACUAAGGGAUGAUUAAGCCUAACUUGUAGUCGUUGUACAACUAUAGACAUGGUUGAUGCUUUAAGAGAAAGAUCUUGAUGGAAAGGGGUAAAUGUAAAAAUUGAUCAUAUGAAUUGGGUCAUUCUUGUCACACCAAAUAAAACCAUCAAGAAGCCAGGGGGAGGAGGCAUUCAGGGCAAAAACACCACUCCAAAAACGUAAUUCUCUGCAUGCCUGGCUGCUGAAAUUACCUGCUUUAAGCUGAAACCAGUUUUAUCGAAUGGUUACUGAAACAACCUCUUGCAACACUAAGACUAGUUUUACCCACCACUGUCCCUCACCUAUCAGAGCCUGCCAGCUCUCAAAAACCUUACUGGUGCCAGUGAACUUUCUCAAAGAGAAAUACACACCAUUUUUCUCUCUGUCUCCCUCUUUAUAAAACCUCUAACUUUCUCUUUAUGUUUUGGACACACUAAAGACACCCAUUCUUCAUGUAUGUGUCAAAUUGUAAUACUUGUAUCUCAAAUAAAACAUUUUAAUUUCAGAUGUUUGUCUCUAUAUUUAUUUGACUUUGACAAUCUGAUAUUAUUUAGCAUUAUUUCCAGUCCCCCAAAUAAU